AGGCUGAUAUGGCCAUGUUAGAAGACAAAUUACCAAAAAAAAGAUGACUUUCAUCAGCCCUUGUCAAGGUAUAUUGAGAUGAUUUCUUUGGAGCAAUUCUUGACAACAUUUGUAGUUGAGGCCUUUAGAAUGGAAGAAUGUAUUUCACUAAUUUUUGUAUACAUUUCUUGUUUUGUAUUUAGUGAUAAAGGAAUCUGAAUUGGGCAUAAAUUAUGUUGUAAUAUGAUUUCUUAAGCCUAGACUAGUAGACUAAAUAUUGUAAUUACAUUUGAGUAAUUAAUAAAAAUCUAUUUAUGUUA